GAGUAUAGGAGAGGGUAGUGGAAUUUCCGGUGUAGCGGUGAAAUGCGUAGAGAUCGGAAGGAACACCAGUGGCGAAGGCGGCUACCUGGCCCAAUACUGACACA
rnacentral:rRNA from 1 species